AGGGUGUAAACGCUGCAGACUUGGUGUUGGAGGCCCUUUGGGGGGCAUUCAGUGCCGGAGAGAAGUUGUUAAGUCUGCUACUUGGGGAGUACGUCCGCAAGGAUGAAACUUAAAGGAAUUGGCGGGGGAGCACCGCAACGGGAGGAGCGUGCGGUUUAAUUGGAUUCAACACCGUAAAACUCACCAGGGAAGACUGUUACAUGAAGGCCGAGAUGAAGACUCUGCUAGAUUUUCAGAGAGGUGGUGCAUGGCGUCAGUGACU
rnacentral:rRNA from 1 species